rnacentral:rRNA from 1 species
AAUGAACGCUGGCGGCAGGCCUAACACAUGCAAGUCGAGCGAUCAUUUCGGUGCUAGCGGCGGACGGGUGAGUAACGCGUGGGAACGUGCCCUUUUCUGCGGAAUAGUCCUUGGAAACUGGGGGUAAUACCGCAUACGCCCUUUUGGGGAAAGAUUUAUCGGAGAAGGAUCGGCCCGCGUUGGAUUAGGUAGUUGGUGGGGUAAUGGCCCACCAAGCCGACGAUCCAUAGCUGGUUUGAGAGGAUGAUCAGCCACACUGGGACUGAGACACGGCCCAGACUCCUACGGGAGGCAGCAGUGGGGAAUCUUAGACAAGGGGGGCAACCCUGAUCUAGCCAUGCCGCGUGAGUGAUGAAGGCCUUAGGGUUGUAAAGCUCUUUCAGCUGGGAAGAUAAUGACGGUACCAGAAGAAGAAGCCCCGGCUAACUCCGUG